rnacentral:lncRNA from 1 species
GAACUAGGUGAAUUGACUUGUUACUUUUGUAGUUUAUUUGAGGGGUUUCCCUCACAUCAAGUACCAUGUUAAACAGAAUUUACUCCUGAAGGACAGUUUUAUUGAGUUGGUGAAUAGGAUAUGCAGGUGUGGAGAAAUGCAAAACUAACUGAAAGAUAAAUGAGUCUCUGCUCUGCCCUGAAGCCAGAGAACAGCAGGUCAUUGGAACGGUCCCUCUUUCCUGCGCUAGCUCCCCGGUGUUGGAACAGAGGGUCUGGCCAAGGCCGCAGUUCUGCCCCGGGGCCCAGACAGCGGCGGCUGCUGAGGCCUGGGGCUGGGUGUGGACACAAGCCUGCUGCCAGCUUUCUAGUACCUGCUAUUUGGAUUAGAGAAUCCUGAGUCUGUUGAUGUUUAUUAUAUGCAGGACCUGAAAAGCAACCAGGAGAGACAGACAUGGGAGAGUAGGGGAAAGAAUGCCUUCUUCCUCCGAAGUUCCACCGACAACCACAUGAUGGCGCUGGCGCUGCACCGUACGUACAGAUGCAGCUGGGCAGUGUGGAUUCCCUGGGCCCUUCCAAGUGCCUCCCUCUCCCUCCUUUGUGCCCCCAGUCUUUUGCUGUGUUUCCCCUCAGGUCCUCCUUUCCAUCCAGUCAAGCCUGA